GAGACCCACGCCAACAGUUGCCAGCAUGUCCUCCGGGAUGGUGGGGACACUGUUGGGACCGCCUCUGCUAAAGAGGAGGAAGGAAUGGGCAACGGUAGGUCAGCAUGCCCCGAAUUAUCCGGGCUACACGCGGGCUACAAUGGUCAGGACAAUGGGUAUCGACACCGAGAGGUGAAGGCAAUCUCUUAAACCUGUCCUUAGUUCGGAUUGUGGGCUGCAACUCGCCCACAUGAAGCUGGAAUCUGUAGUAAUCGCGUCUCAAAAUGGCGCGGUGAAUAU
rnacentral:rRNA from 1 species